CUUUUCUUUAUCUAUUUAAUUUGGAUAAUAUGGUAACUUAUGCCUCAGAAAGAAUUAGGAGGUGUUAACUCAGCUCCUAUGUUCUGGAAAAAAAGUAGAAAAUUGGUGGCAGUUCUUAAGUGUCUCAUGGAUGCCUGUUUGAGAUGUCAGGGCCUUGUCUUGCCUUGCCUUUUUGGGUAGUAAUUAGUUAUUGAGUCUAUUUUUCUCAGUAGCCAUGGGCUCAUCUGUUUUGUUUAUUUCCCCUUGUGUGUAAGUUGUAAGAGAUUGUCUCUCUCAAAGAAAUGGUCCAGUUUUUGCAAGUUGUCUAAUUUGUGUCAAGCAUGUUUAUGAUAAUCUUGAAGUCCUAGUGCAUUGUUGAUGAUGACACGUUUAAAUGUGUUAGUAGGUUUUCAGUCCUCUUUGCUUUUUUCUUUAAAGUUAUUGUAUAUUUUACACUUUUUUCUUUUUAUGUGUCAGUGAGGAUUGAACUUGGUUUCUCGCAAGCACUAGGCAAUCACUCUUCCACUGAGCCAUAGCCCCAGUCUCUGUCUUCUAUAUUCUUAGCCUUAUGUCAGUUUAUCAGUGAUGCUGAUGUUCAUGAAGAACUUGAUUUUGCAGACUGUGAAUCUACUGAUUGUGAUUGCUUUACCACACUCUGGAAGAGCUUCUGCCUUACGUUUGUUUGCACCUCCUUUUCUACAGGCACCAUGAAUCUCUUUCACAACAGAUAACCAUUGCACAUGUGGCCCAACCUUGAUUAAAAUGUCCUUGAGCAGAGCAUUCAUAUGUGUCUCAUGACUGUACGUUAUGGUAGUUAACUGGCUGCUGUUAAGAAGAAUUUGACAAUCAUUGGACAUUCAUUUUUACUAUGAAACUUAGAAAUGUAGUGCCUGCUGUUUAUUAAGAUUGUUUUGAGAGAUAUAAAACUUUGUAAGACUGUUUUUUGGACAAGGUGACAUUUUUGGGUCAUUGAGUUAUUUCUAAGACACGUGCUAUCUUUUCACUUGCCCCAUUGUGCUUUGACAGUAACCACAGGAAAUUAUUGAAUUGUUG
rnacentral:lncRNA from 1 species